GAUGAACGCUGGCGGCGUGCCUAAUACAUGCAAGUCGAACGAGGUGCCUUUGUAGCGAUACGAAGGUAUCCUAGUGGCGAACGGGUGAGUAACGCGUUGGUGACCUACCCCAAAGUGUGGGAUAACAGAUCGAAAGAUCUGCUAAUACCGCAUGUGGUCUUCGGAUUUAGAAACUGAUGACUAAAGGAGCAAUUCGCUUUGGGAGGGACCUGCGUCCCAUCAGCUAGUUGGUGAGGUAAUGGCUCACCAAGGCUACGACGGGUAGGGGACCUGAGAGGGUGGCCCCCCCACAAUGGAACUGAAACACGGUCCAUACACCUACGGGUGGCAGCAGUAGGGAAUAUUGCACAAUGGGCGAAAGCCUGAUGCAGCAACGCCGCGUGUGCGAUGAAGGCCUUCGGGUCGUAAAGCACUUUUCUGAGGGAUGAGCAAGGACAGUACCUCAGGAAUAAGUCUCGGCUAACUACGUGCCAGCAGCCG
rnacentral:rRNA from 1 species